rnacentral:rRNA from 1 species
GAUGAACGCUGGCGGCGUGCCUAAUACAUGCAAGUCGAGCGAACAGAUGAGGAGCUUGCUCCUCUGACGUUAGCGGCGGACGGGUGAGUAACACGUGGAUAACCUACCUAUAAGACUGGGAUAACUUCGGGAAACCGGAGCUAAUACCGGAUAAUAUAUUGAACCGCAUGGUUCAAUAGUGAAAGACGGUUUUGCUGUCACUUAUAGAUGGAUCCGCGCCGCAUUAGCUAGUUGGUAGGGUAACGGCUUACCAAGGCAACGAUGCGUAGCCGACCUGAGAGGGUGAUCGGCCACACUGGAACUGAGACACGGUCCAGACUCCUACGGGAGGCAGCAGUAGGGAAUCUUCCGCAAUGGGCGAAAGCCUGACGGAGCAACGCCGCGUGAGUGAUGAAGGUCUUCGGAUCGUAAAACUCUGUUAUUAGGGAAGAACAAAUGUGUAAGUAACUAUGCACGUCUUGACGGUACCUAAUCAGAAAGCCACGGCUAACUACGUG